AUCCAACUUUUGUUCGAAAUCAGAGAUGAUACAAAAGAGAUAGGAUUGAAUGAAAAGAGAUAUCAGACACUGACACAAAGUCCAUUUAUCUUUUGUCGCAAGGCGAAUGGGGUGCCAUCACAAUCAUCUGUCUGUCCGUUCUUCAC
ensembl:ncRNA K01A6.12 ncRNA